ensembl:lncRNA
AAAUGGACCAGGUGGCUGCAAGGAACCAAGGUUAUGAAUUUACAUUCCAAUGCAGCUACUACUAUGGUGGAUCAGAGCCAAUUAUUCAGACAAAUGAGAGCAAGUCCUCCACAGGCAGCGGUUUCUCAGUCCCAGGGGAGAGGGCAUUCAGAUGAUGAUGGCAGACAGACAGUGGCAGGUGGAAGCUCCCUGGACUGGUGACAGGAGACAGCUAGCUAGGAGAGAGAUGGAGAGAAAGAAUGGAGAAGUGACAGGUGUGAGUGUUGACGAGGACAAGGCUGUAGAUCACUCUGUCAUGCUGAUUGAGUUCGAAUAACAGACUGGAAGCUUCAAAAGGAGGGUGGUGCUUGGAGUCAUUGUUCUUCCUCUGUCAACCAUGGUUACCUGCAAGGAAACAUGUGACGUCGUCUUUGCUUUACACAAAAAGGGCUUCACAGGCAAUGAUGUUGCUGCCAGUAAGAUUGCAUCUAAAUCAACCAUUUAUCGGAUCAUCAAGAACUUCAAGGAGAGCGG